UACGUAGGUUUCGAGCGUUGUCCGGAUUUAUUGGGCGUAAAGCGCCCGCAGGCGGCCAGGCAAGUCCAGGGUGAAAUCUCCCGGCUCAACCGGGAGGGUGCCCUGGAAACUGCUUGGCUUGAGGCAGGGAGAGGGAUGUGGAAUUCCCGGUGUAGUGGUGAAAUGCGUAGAUAUCGGGAGGAACACCAGUGGCGAAGGCAGCAUCCUGGCCCGGUCCUGACGCUCAGGGGCGAAAGCGUGGGGAGCAAACCGG
rnacentral:rRNA from 1 species